CCCCUGGAAUCGCACACGGUUGCAAUAUUAAUCUUCGUCGAUCGGUUGAAAAUAUAAUGUGUAUGUUUAUAUAUUGCUAAUUUCUCGAUGAAUCAUUUAUAAGCGAUAUUCAUCGAUUCAUCGUUAUUUAUGUGAUUCAGACGUUCGAUCUCUUUCGAGUUUAUUUUUUUUUACUUUCAUAGAAAGUGUCAAGAGAAAAAAAUCAAUAAUCUCGUUGUAUAAUCUCAUCGUUAAUUAUCGAAUGGGACAAUUGAGAAACAUUGGCACGAGAAACGUGCGCUAAACGAGAUAAUCGAAGUGGGAUAUCCCGUUUUCCCUGGCUACGCUUGAUUCAAUGCCAAGAAUUCUUCGCACACAAUUACGUUCUCUGUGCUUUACGAUCUGCGAUUAAGUAAUUGUAUAUAUCAUUGUGGCGACGUACGUAAGUACAUGAGUAAUUAUAAGUCGAGCAUUAUCGAAGAAAUGAUAUAAAUAUACAAUCAAUAAACUCUUUUGAUUUUUUAAUAUUCAUUUAUUUCUUAAUUAUUUAUUUUUUUUCAUUCACAAAAAGCAAAAUAAUAAAAAUGAUCAAACACAUGUUAUUGAAUUAAAGAGACAAACAUGGUACUUUUUUCAAGUACCAUAAUAUAACCUCAAAGAGAAAAAACAACGAGGGAAAUAUGGAGAGAAAGUCUGCUCCGACUGAUGUUUCUUUCUCGAUUGUCCAGUUCGAUUUUCUCGUCGGGGAAACUGACUUGUAAUAUUUCUGCGUUUUUAUUACUUUAAUGUAUCAAACUCUUUUAAAGCAUUCAACGUUUUAAAACAUUCCAACGUUCAGUGUUUCGACUAAUAAACUUCAUUGCAACUAAUAAUUUUCAAACGUUCUGCAUGAAAUAAACAAGACUAGUAAUUACGAAAUAAUAUAUUGAGAAAAUUUGCGAUUCCCUGGAUGUUCUACGUUAGCGAGUUACUUAUGAUCAUGUGAAAAUAAUUAUACAUUCUGCAAAAUAACCUGUUGUUGUAAUUGUUUCUAAAGUGUAGUCGCUCGUGCAACGUUUUGUUUUGUAGCACGAUGCAGUAAAAAUUAGCAAAAGGCAUUUAUUAUUUCUGUAGAAUUUAUCUUGUGGAGCAUUAAAUAUUCAGAUUGUGUAUAGUCCCAAUCAUAAGUUGUUGGAAACUUAACGUUUCAGGAUACAGAAAAAUGAACAUUGUAUUUAAUAUACCAACAUGGUAUGUGAUAGAAAAUUUUAAAAUAUUAAAUUAAAAAAUAUUUAUGAUUAAUGUGAAUAAUGUUUAGAUAGAUUAAUGCGAAUAGGUUAAGUUAGGAAGGUUAGGUUAGAAAGACGACUUAUUACUAUAUUUAGAAACUAUAAUUAAAUAUAUUUUUUAAUAAUUACAAUGAUUAUUGGAUGGAAUAAUAAUCGUAUCGAUACAAAGAAUUAGAAAAUAUUGCGAAUUUUUUUUCCUCGGUAAAGAAAUACUUUUAUUCGAAAAAGAUUGAAAUAUUUUUACUCGUGAACGAAGAAGUGAAAAGGAAAAAAGAAUUAUUUCAUUCAAAAUUGAGUUGUAAAUGGAUGAAUUGUUAUUUACAAAGAAUUUUAUCGCUUCCUUUUGAAAAAUAUAUUCGUGGAAUAUAAUUUGUAUAUUUCAAAUUUUAUAACCUCUGACAUUUUACUCUUCAUUUUUUCAUCAUUUCGUGAUUUGAUUUUUUAAACAUCUAAAUAUUCCUUUGUUUUAUAUAAAACAAUUUAUACGACAGUUUUGCAAUUUCUUUUACAUUUUUAUUUAAAAAUUAAAAAAGUUUUUAUCACUUUAAUCGCAUAGAUUAGAACAUAGAUUAAACUAAAUUAAUUUAUGCACAAUUUUAUCUUAUAAAUAGUUUGUAACUAUAUAUAUAUAUAUAUAGAGUACAACAUAAAAAUUUAUUUUUCUUCUUGUCUUCGAGUCAAUUUUUUAUUUGUUAAGAUUUAUAUAUUAAGUUUUACAUAUUUUCGUUGUUUAUAUAUAUUCAUUCUACAUACAAAACAUAAAAUUCAAAAUUAUAUCAGUGUCCAUAUUUUUUUGAUCAACUGUUUAUUUAUAUAGAACAGUUUCUCAAUAAUAUUGGUAUCGAUUAGAAAAAAAAAAAUAUAAAAAUAUACAUGUCAAAAAAAGUCAAUAAAACAGCAAUAUUAUCUCUGUCGACAAAUUUAAAAAUAUUUUUCAAACAAACGUCCAAUAAGAUUUCUCAUUCGAAAACUCGUUUCCACAAACCGGUGAGCACAAUUACACGCAAAAAAGAUAAUUAAACGAGCAUUACUAUUGGAUGUCACAACAAGAUCUCUUGCGCAUGCUUCAACUAUGAGAUAUACCACUCGAUUCGUAAAGUGGUUUCGAGCAUCCUUCUAUAUUAAUCUUCGUCAAUAGAUCCUUCUAAUUUAAUAUCAAUUGCAGUGUCGAUCAGAAGAAAAUAAUUUCUCGACAGAACAGCUUUUCCAUCGAGAACUCGUGAACUACAAGAUCGAGGAAAAAGGAUAUCUCUUCUAUAUUUUCUGCUUUCUUUUUUUAGGCCUCAUUAUCGACCGACAGUCUCUCGUUCAACGACAUUCUCAGAAGGUAUUGUUGUUCAGUGCCGAGUGCAUGCUCGAAACUCACGUGUAAUGGAACUUAAUGCAAAUACAUUCUGCGACUUCAUUAAUGACGGGGACGCGGUGUGUCACGUGGGGCCAUUACACCGUGAACAUACGACUCUGUUGUAUGUAUACACGUUACUAAAGUUAUCUAAGUUGUACCGCUGUGUCAAGUCCUUCGAAGUCGGAUGUGUGUCUAUUCAUUAGCGAUAUAAUGCAUCGAAUUACGUUAUUAUCCAUACACGAGAGGCCGUAUACAUUUGAGAGGCCAUAUACGCGUUGGAGAGAAAAAAAAGGAGCAUUUGGUUCGAAAUUUGAAAAAUUUUUACCGGAGAUUGAUAUGAACUGAAAAUGUAAUACGGUCACGUAUAUAUAUGUAUGUAUGUAUGUGUUUCGUUUAAAUUGAUAAGAUAAAUGGUGCAUUGGUGAAAUCGUGUACGAAAAUUUCGUCAGAGUAUCCCUCGCACGUGGAGCAUUACGUGGGGUUUAACACUUUCGACCUUGAAAAGGAAUUGAAUGGAUAAGAGCCGAAUCAAAAGGAUAGAGAGCGUGCAAGAAUAUGGAAAUUAGAUAUGAACUUAGUAUUCAACUGCAGAUAAUUACAGAGAAGAAAUUGAUAAGUUGCGACAUGUAAAAUUUUACCAAUAAUAUUAAUUCAAUUGCGCAAGAGGAUUCGAGUUAAUAUAACGAGAUUUAUUUCGCUUGAUAUAAUAUUUACCGAGGCUUUGUUGUUUCUCUUGGAAUAACUGAAUGGAGAGAGAGAAUGGAAUGGAAUCGGGCACCAAUUGGAAAAAUUGUGCGGCAGCAGGGGGACGAGAUUCGCAAAAUGUCGUGAAAACACGGCGGGCGUCCCACUUUCCAGCGAGUACGAAUCGUACACCGAUCAAAAAUUCAACCUCGCCGCCGUUUAAACAAAAACUUAAAAACGUCGAAAUUGAUUUUACAACCGAUCGAUCGAAAAUGCAAGGGGGAAGCAGAAGCGAUAGAUCUCGAGGUGGCGGAUCUUCUGACUGGAUCGUCAAAGUGUAUUGGAAAAUAGGAAAUGACGAAGGGCGAAGGUUUGCUUUCUUCAAAUACCGCGUUACUUUUCCUUUAAUUUUCUAUUUUAAAUAAAUAAAUUUAGUGGAACGAUGAUCGACGAUUGAACGAGGGAAUCGCGCGAUGAUUCACGAAAUACGUGGAUUUUUCCUUAUUUUAAUUUUAUCACAGUUCGCAGAAAAAUUGUUGAGAGGAAGAUUUAUUUUAUUGAAAAUUGUUUAUCGGUGUGUCGCAAAGAGGAAUCGAAGUGAAACGAUAAGAGAAAGUGUGAUGACCGUAAUUAUCAGAUCGUAAAAAAAUUGUUAGUCGAGUGAAUUAAUUAAUAAGAUCGAUUUAUGAGAUAAUAAAUUAAGAUCAGGUAAGUUUUGAACUAACCAAUCUAUUUCCAGAAAUCAUCAUUACAUUUGAUUACAUUUUAUUCGUACAACGAAAAGAUAAAGAGAAUGUAUGCUUUAAAAUAAAAUUCUUAAGUAUUGCCUA